AUUGAACGCUGGCGGCAUGCCUAACACAUGCAAGUCGAACGAGUGGCGGACGGGUGAGUAAUGUCUGGGAAACUGCCUGUUGGAGGGGGAUAACCACUGGAAACCGUAGCUCAUACCGCAUACCCUCGGUUUUGGCCAUCUGGGAUUAGCUAGUAGGUGGGGAAAAGGCUCACCUGGGCGACGAUCCCUAGCUGGUCUGAGAGGAUGACGAGCAACACUGGAACUAAGACCCGGUCCGGAGUCUUCCGGGGGGAAGCAGUGGGGAAUUUUGGACAUGGGGGGAAGGCCUGAUGCAGAAAUGCCGCGGGUAUGAAAAAGGCCUUGGGGUGGUAAAGUCCUUUAAGCGGGAAGACGUUACCCGAAGAGGAAGCACCGGCUAACUCCGUGCCAGCAGCCGCGGUAAUUC
rnacentral:rRNA from 1 species